rnacentral:rRNA from 1 species
UACGGAGGGUGCGAGCGUUGUCCGGAAUCACUGGGCGUAAAGGGCGCGUAGGUGGCGCCGCAAGUCAACGGUGAAAGCUCGACGCUUAACGUCGAGUCGGCCGUCGAGACUGCGGGGCUCGAGCACUGUAGAGGCUCAUGGAAUUCCGGGUGUAGCGGUGGAAUGCGUAGAGAUCCGGAAGAACACCGGUGGCGAAGGCGGUCUGCUGGGGUGAGGCUGACGCUGAGGCGCGACAGCGUGGGGAGCAAACAGG